GGGCCCGCACAAGCAGUGGAGUAUGUGGUUUAAUUCGAAGCAACGCGAAGAACCUUACCAGGGCUUGACAUACCAUUGACGUAUCUAGAGAUAGGUAUUUCCUUCGGGACAAUGGAUACAGGUGGUGCAUGGUUGUCGUCAGCUCGUGUCGUGAGAUGUUGGGUUAAGUCCCGCAACGAGCGCAACCCCUGUUGCUAGUUGCCAUCAUUAAGUUGGGCACUCUAGCGAGACUGCCGGUGACAAAUCGGAGGAAGGUGGGGACGACGUCAAAUCAUCAUGCCCCUUAUGUCCUGGGCUACACACGUACUACAAUGGCUAUUACAGAGGGAAGCAAUACCGUAAGGUGGAGCAAAUCCCCAAAAAUAGUCCCAGUUCAGAUUGUGGGCUGAAACUCGCCCACAUGAAGUCGGAAUUGCUAGUAAUGGCAGGUCAGCAUACUGCCGUGAAUACGUUCCCGGGCCUU
rnacentral:rRNA from 1 species